rnacentral:sRNA from 1 species
GCACUUGCAAAUUCAGGUGCCGGGAUUCGCAACCCGCCGUGUGUACCGGCCAAUAACACGCCGAGAGCGUGUUUUUU